GUUGUUGGUGUCUCCUGUCAUGCAGGAUUGUGCAGGGAUGUCAUUAUUCCUAUUGUGAUAAACCCCGAGGACUAAAAGUCACUCCUGGAGGAAAGGCAUUACUUCAUCUUCCAGCUGUAGUCACCUAUCAUUCAGGAGAGCCCAGGCAGGAACCUGGAAGCAGGAACUGAGGCAGGGGCCAUGGGGAAAUGGUGCUUUCUCUCUCUCUCUCUUUCUCUCUCUCUCUCUCUCUCUCUCUCUCUCUCUCUUUCUUUCUAUUUUUUUUUUUUUUGAGACAGGGUCUCCCUGUGCUGCUGUCCUGGAACUCACUAUGUAGACCUAGCUGGACUUGAACUCGCAGAGAUCUGCCUGCCUCUACUUCCUGAGUGAUGGGAUUAAAGCAUACCUCGUGGGCGCACAGAGAAAGUCGUGGUUCUUUAUCACUGCACUUGCUAUGCCGUGCGGAAGGGAGUGUGACUUAUCUGACACCCAGGCUAUGUCCAAGGUGCCCGUGUUGUCAACAGCUGGCUUGGCGCCUGUCCCCAUACCAGAGGCAGCAAACUGAAAAUGAGUACCCAGGAAUGAGGCUGCUGGUCAAAGGUGAAUGCAAUUGUGAUUGCAAGUAUUGGUGACCUGGCGGCACUCUGAUCUUGGCUGCCGGCCAAAGAUGUAGUGACUGCCGUCAGUGUUGAUAAUCUAGCCUCCGAGAGAACUACAGGAGGUCUUGGGCUCAGUCAACAUCACGUCAUGUUUUAAGGUAGUAGACAGGAAUGGGGAAGCCAGUCCCCUUUGAUGACAAUCGCUCUGAUGUAGGUAUCUGGGGGAAUCUGUUACCUACUCAGUUUCUUGUCUCCACUGUGGGCCAUGGAACCUCGGGAGUAAAAGAGGGCUGGAGCUGCCAUUGCAGAUGUUUCUCACCACCGCGUCUGCUCAUCUCCACCUCGCUCCUCUGUCAAGUCCACUCAGUACUUGUCCACCGUGAGACUCACAUUGCCCAGCACUCUGACGCCACCCACCCUACAAGACCCUGCUCAAGCAUCUCUGAAUAGAAUCCUAAGAGCCUUUCCUGACUGCCAAGCGGAGUGGUGUACCCGCUUGUCCCCUCCCCGCCUUCUGUGUUCCACAUACACAACAGGAUUUGUCUGGGUUUGUGGGAUUGGGCAGUAGGUUCCCAGGACUCUGCUUUUGGCCCCUUGCUGGCCAAGGGUCUGUGAGAUAAGGCUGCUCUGAUCCCCUCUGCUUUGUCCUGGGGAGCUCCCUAUGUGUGCUGAGCUUAGGGAAUGAUUGUCAGGUCUCUUGCUGUGUGGUAGGGGAGCAACAAACAUUUGUGGAAUGUGUUAGGUAGCUGGCCCCUCGUGCACUUCAUUUAUUUAGUGUCUUUGUUACUUCUCUAUUGUUGUGGAGAGACAUCUGAGCAGGGCAAAUGAAAGCAUUUAAUUGGGGGCUUGCCUACAGUGUCAGAGGUUAGUCAAUGCAAUCACAGCAGGGAGCACGAGGGCAGGCAGAUAGGCAGGCAGGCAGGCAGGCAGGCAGGCAGGCAGGCAGGCAGGCAGGCAGGCAGGGCAUUGGAGCAGUAGCUGAGAGCUCACACCCUGAUCCACAGGCAGGAGGCAGAGAGAGCUUGACUCUGGGCGCUGCUGUGGGCCUUUGAAACCUCAAAGACCACCCCCACUUGGCACACCUCCUUCAAGGCCACACCUCCUAAUCCUUCCUAAAAAGUCCACCAACUAGGAACCAAAUAUUCAAAUAUAUAAGCCUAUGGCCAAGAGGUAGCGGAGCAGGCCUUUCCCAGCAGUGGGAGGCAGAGGCAGAUGGAAUUCAGGCCAGUCUGGUCUACAGAGUGAGUUCAGAAGACAGUGGACAGUGAAGGUUACACAGGGAAAUCCUGUCUCAAAAAACCCAAAACAACAACAACAACAACAACGACAAAACAACCAAACCAAACCAAAACCAAAAAUCAAAAAUAUAAGCCUGUAGAGACCAUUCUUAUUCAAAGCACCACACGUAGCUAGCCAGCCUUGUUAAUACCAGGUUGGAUUCAGGGACAUUAUCUCACACCUUGUGUAUUGGUCAGGGUUCUUUAGAGGAACAGAAAUGAUAAAAUGAAUAUAACUUUUAAAUAUAUAAUAUGCAUAUGUAAGGGGACUCUAUUAGACUGGUGUACAAUUUGUGCCCUAGUCAUUCCUACAACAUCUGGAAGUAUUUUUUCAGGCCACAUGGCUGGAUGUUUCAAUUCGUCUUCAGUAUAAGCUGGAGUCGUUCUGAUGCCAGUGAAGGAGUGAGCUUGUCAGAGAGAGUAAGAGCAAGCAGGCAAAGAGGACAUGCUUCUUCCUUCCAUGUGGCUGAAGGUGUGGCUGAGAUUAAAGGUGGAUCUUCCCACCUCAGAAGAUCCGGAUUAAAAAUGGAUCUUUCCAUUCCAAGUGAUUUUUAAUUAAGAAAAAAAAAAAUCCCGGGGCUAGAGAGAUGACUCCACAGUUAAGGGCAUGGACUUCCAGAGUUCCUGAGUUCAAUUCCCAACAACCACAUGGUGGCUUAUAACUAUCUGUAAUGGGAUCUCAUGCCUUCUUCUGGUGUUCAUGAAGACAGAACACUC
ensembl:lncRNA